rnacentral:rRNA from 1 species
AAUGAACGCUGGCGGCAUGCCUUACACAUGCAAGUCGAACGGCAGCAUGACCUAGCUUGCUAGGUUGAUGGCGAGUGGCGAACGGGUGAGUAAUGCAUCGGAACGUGCCUUUUAGUGGGGGAUAACGUAGCGAAAGUUACGCUAAUACCGCAUAUUCUCUGAGGAGGAAAGCAGGGGACCUUCGGGCCUUGCGCUAGAAGAGCGGCCGAUGUCGGAUUAGCUAGUUGGUGAGGUAAAGGCUCACCAAGGCAACGAUCCGUAGCGGGUCUGAGAGGAUGAUCCGCCACAUUGGGACUGAGACACGGCCCAGACUCCUACGGGAGGCAGCAGUGGGGAAUUUUGGACAAAGGGCGCAAGCCUGAUCCAGCCAUGCCGCGUGAGUGAAGAAGGCCUUCGGGUUGUAAAGCUCUUUCGGCUGGGAAGAAAUCGCACCCUCUAAUACAGGGUGUGGAUGACGGUACCAGCAUAAGAAGCACCUGCUAACUACGUG